rnacentral:rRNA from 1 species
AGCGAACGCUGGCGGCAGGCCUAACACAUGCAAGUCGAACGAACCUUUCGGGGUUAGUGGCGGACGGGUGAGUAACACGUGGGAACGUGCCUUUAGGUUCGGAAUCACUCAGGGAAACUUGUGCUAAUACCGAAUGUGCCCUUCGGGGGAAAGAUUAAUCGCCUUUAGAGCGGCCCGCGUCUGAUUAGCUAGUUGGUUGAGGUAAUGGCACACCAAGGCGACGAUCAGUAGCUGGUCUGAGAGGAUGAUCAGCCACAUUGGGACUGAGACACGGCCCAAACUCCUACGGGAGGCAGCAGUGGGGAAUCUUGCGCAAUGGGCGAAAGCCUGACGCAGCCAUGCCGCGUGAAUGAUGAAGGUCUUAGGAUUGUAAAAUUCUUUCACCGGGGACGAUAAUGACGGUACCCGGAGAAGAAGCCCCGGCUAACUUCGUG